ensembl:lncRNA
GGACACUACAGACAACACCAGCUCAUUCAUCUCUGGGCAUCAUAAUCUGCUGUUCAGUUCUUGCACUAACAGUAGAGUAAACCAUAGCUCAAAGGUCUCGGGGAUCGUCUAGAAUUCCCUACUCCAUGUGUGCAGCAGAUCUGGGCUCAUGUUCUAGCUCUGGUCAAGUAGUGAGAUGUGGGUCUCUCGGUCCCCAACCUAUGAAGAAUGGUUAGAAUCUCCCUCACUUAAACCUGUUCUAUCUCUUUGCCAUCUUUCUCUGGGUAGUCAUGAGUUUAUAUAGGAGCUUUAAUAAGUACUAACGAUUGUCUAUUCACAGUGUGACUUCCUUAAACUAUGAUGUAGGUAUACAUUUUAUUAUUAUUUAUUUUUUAUUGCUGUUUUCCCUCCUACUUUCAGAGAGAUGGGACCACAUCACCACUACUACAGAGAGAAGGCCAGGAACAACUAGAGCACCAUCAAAUCCUAUGGGUAAGACAAGCUCUCAGAGGAAAAAAGGAAGGAAGGAUUUUCCACAUCAGCUACCUGUUUCAAACUUCAUGGGUUUGACUUGGAAGACAACUUGGAUGACUGGAGUGAUCUAGAUGGCCCCAAAAAGCCAAGUACAGGAGAAGGAGGAGGUUGGUCAGACAAGGAUCUCGAAGAUAUCUUGGGAGACGGGGAAUACAAACCUGACAAGAAUAAAGUGGAUGGACUGCCAGACCGAAGGCUUCAUGAAAGAACUGUGCUGCUGUGAACGAUUUUAUUAUUAACAUCGAUGGAAGCUUACUAACCUUGGAUUUUUAUGAAAAUUGGCUUAGCAUCCCAGAUGGAACUCUGGCUGGAAAAAUUAAUGGCAUUCAAAGCUUUUGCAACAGAUGCCAGAACCAAACUUUAUACUAUUAAAAC